GACGAACGCUGGCGGCGUGCCUAAUACAUGCAAGUAGAACGCUGAAGGAGGAGCUUGCUUCUCUGGAUGAGUUGCGAACGGGUGAGUAACGCGUAGGUAACCUGCCUUUAACUCUGGGAUAAGCCUGGGAAACUGGGUCUAAUACCGGAUACGACCAAUCUCCGCAUGGGGUGUUGGUGGAAAGCGUUAUGUAGUGGUUAUAGAUGGGCUCACGGCCUAUCAGCUUGUUGGUGAGGUAACGGCUCACCAAGGCGACGACGGGUAGCCGGCCUGAGAGGGUGACCGGCCACACUGGGACUGAGACACGGCCCAGACUCCUACGGGAGGCAGCAGUGGGGAAUAUUGCACAAUGGGCGCAAGCCUGAUGCAGCGACGCCGCGUGAGGGAUGACGGCCUUCGGGUUGUAAACCUCUGUUAGCAGGGAAGAAGAGAAAUUGACGGUACCUGCAGAGAAAGCGCCGGCUAACUACGUGCCAGCAGCCGCGGUAAUACGUAGGGCGCGAGCGUUGUCCGGAAUUAUUGGGCGUAAAGAGCUUGUAGGCGGUUUGUCGCGUCUGCUGUGAAAGGCCGGGGCUUAACCCCGUGUAUUGCAAUGGGUACCGGCAGACUAGAGUGCAGUAGGGGACACCUCGGAUUCCUGGUGUUGGAGGUGGAAUGCGCAGAUAUCAGGAGGAACACCGAUGGCGAACGUAGGUCUCUGGGCUGUCACUGACGCUGAGAAGCGAAAGCAUGGGGAGCGAACAGGAUUCGAUACCCUGGUACUCCAUGCCGUAAACGUUGGGCCACUAGGUGUGGGGAACAUUCCACGUUUUCCGCGCCGUAUCUAACGCAUUAACUGCCCCGCCUGGGGAGUACGGCCGCAUGGCUAAAACUCAAAAGAAAUUGACGGGGGCCCCGCACAAGCGGCGGAGCAUGCGGAUUAAUUCGAUGCAACGCGAAGACCCUUACCAAGGCUUGACAUAUACUGGACCGCAUCAGAGAUGGUGUUUCCCUUCGGGGCUGGUGUACAGGUGGUGCAUGGUUGUCGUCAGCUCGUGUCGUGAGAUGUUGGGUUAAGUCCCGCAACGAGCGCAACCCUCGUUCUAUGUUGCCAGCACGUAAUGGUGGGGACUCAUAGGAGACUGCCGGGGUCAACUCGGAGGAAGGUGGGGAUGACGUCAAAUCAUCAUGCCCCUUAUGUCUUGGGCUUCACGCAUGCUACAAUGGCCGGUACAGAGGGUUGCGAUACUGUGAGGUGGAGCUAAUCCCUAAAAGCCGGUCUCAGUUCGGAUUGGGGUCUGCAACUCGACCCCAUGAAGUCGGAGUCGCUAGUAAUCGCAGAUCAGCAACGCUGCGGUGAAUACGUUCCCGGGCCU
rnacentral:rRNA from 1 species